CGGCGGGUGCUACUCAUGCAGUCGAACGAGAACGGUUCCUUCGGGGAUUUAGUAAAGUGGCGAACGGGUGAGUAACGCGUGGAUGAUCUUGCCCUCAAGUGGGGGAUAACUCGGGGAAACCCGGGCUAAUACCGCAUAAGCCCUACGGGGGAAAAGUAUAUAUAUUGCUUGAGGAGGAGUCCGCGUCCGAUUAGCUAGCUGGUGAGGUAAGAGCUCACCAAGGCGACGAUUGGUAGCCGGUCUGAGAGGACGGACGGCCACACUGGAACUGAGACACGGUCCAGACUCCUACGGGAGGCAGCAGUGGGGAAUUUUGGGCAAUGGGGGAAACCCUGACCCAGCAACGCCGCGUGGAGGAAGAAGGUUUUCGGAUCGUAAACUCCUGUCCCGAGGGACGAAGCAAGUGACGGUACCUCGGGAGGAAGCCCCGGCUAACUCCGUGCCAGCAGCCGCGGUAAUACGGGGGGGGCAAGCGUUGUUCGGAAUUACUGGGCGUAAAGGGCGCGCAGGCGGUUUCGUCAGUCAUGGGUGAAAGCCCCGGGCUCAACCCGGGAAUGGCCUGUGAAACCACGGAACUGGAGUGCUGGAGAGGGAAGCGGAAUUCCCAGUGUAGCGGUGAAAUGCGUAGAUAUUGGGAGGAACAUCGGUGGCGAAGGCGGCUUCCUGGACAGACACUGACGCUGAGGCGCGAAAGCCAGGGGAGCGAACGGGAUUAGAUACCCCGGUAGUCCUGGCUGUAAACGAUGAAUACUUGGUGUAGGGGGUAGGAAAGUCCCUCUGUGCCGCAGAGAACUCGAUAAGUAUUCCGCCUGGGGAGUACGGCCGCAAGGCUGAAACUCAAAGGAAUUGACGGGGGCCCGCACAAGCGGUGGAGCAUGUGGUUUAAUUCGACGCAACGCGAAGAACCUUACCGGGGUUUGAACUCGGCCGGCGACCUCUAAAAAUAGGGGGUUCCUUUCGGGGACAGGUCGAAAGGUGCUGCAUGGCUGUCGUCAGCUCG
rnacentral:rRNA from 1 species